AUCUGGGAUAGCUCCGGUGUUAGAGCAUGAGGCUCUUAAUCUCAGGGUUGUGGGUUCGAGCCCCACGUUGGACA